rnacentral:rRNA from 1 species
AACGAACGCUGGCGGCAGGCUUAACACAUGCAAGUCGAACGCGUGUAGCAAUACACGAGUGGCGCACGGGUGAGUAACGCGUGGAUAUCUGCCUUUUGGUUCGGGAUAACCCCGGGAAACUGGGGCUAAUACCGGAUGGUUCCUUCGGGAUAAAGAUUUAUCGCCAAAAGAUGAGUCCGCGUACGAUUAGCUAGUUGGUGAGGUAAUGGCUCAACAAGGCGACGAUCGUUAGCUGGGCUGAGAGGACGAUCAGCCACACUGGGACUGAGACACGGCCCAGACUCCUACGGGAGGCAGCAGUGGGGAAUAUUGGACAAUGGGGGCAACCCUGAUCCAGCCAUGCCGCGUGAGUGAUGAAGGCCUUCGGGUUGUAAAGCUCUUUUGGCGGGGACGAUGAUGACGGUACCCGCAGAAUAAGCCCCGGCUAACUUCGUGCCAGCCGCCGCGGUAACAC